GGCCAUAGGGAAUAAAAGCGAAAAGCAGAAAGGGAACUUGUGUCGAGAAUUGCAAAAAGAGAUGUCAUAGAAAGAAUGUUUUAGAGGCAGUCCCAGCUUCUGAGCCCAGGCGAUCUAGUUCAAAUUGAGGUUGGCCUGAAGGCAAUCUCAUUUCUUGUCUCUGAGCGCCCCCAGUUCGGAAGACUGAGUCACCCUAGAAUCUGGCCGCUCUCGAACCCCGCGACCUGGAGUGGAGGUCCCUCUAGCGGUCAGCGUCAAUCAAAGGCGCCGGCACCCGUUCUUGUGAACAGCUAGGGAC
rnacentral:lncRNA from 1 species